UACGAAGGGGGCUAGCGUUGCUCGGAAUCACUGGGCGUAAAGGGUGCGUAGGCGGGUCUUUAAGGCAGGGGUGAAAUCCUGGAGCUCAACUCCAGAACUGCCUUUGAUACUGAAGAUCUUGAGUUCGGGAGAGGUGAGUGGAACUCCGAGUGUAGAGGUGAAAUUCGUAGAUAUUCGCAAGAACACCAGUGGCGAAGGCGGCUCACUGGCCCGAUACUGACGCUGAGGUGCGAAAGCGUGGGGAGCAAACAGG
rnacentral:rRNA from 1 species